GCACAAGCGGUGGAUGAUGUGGUUAAUUCGAUGCAACGCGAAAACCUUACCACCUUUGACAUGUACGGAAUCCUUAGAGAUAGAGGAGUGCUCGAAAGAGAGCCGUAACACAGGUGCUGCAUGGCUGUCGUCAGCUCGUGUCGUGAGAUGUUGGGUUAAGUCCCGCAACGAGCGCAACCCUUGUCAUUAGUUGCUACAUUCAGUUGGGCACUCUAAUGAGACUGCCGGUGACAAACCGGAGGAAGGUGGGGAUGACGUCAAGUCCUCAUGGCCCUUAUAGGUGGGGCUACACACGUCAUACAAUGGAUGGUACAAAGGGUCGCCAACCCGCGAGGGGGAGCCAAUCCCAUAAAGCCAUUCGUAGUCCGGAUCGCAGUCUGCAACUCGACUGCGUGAAGUCGGAAUCGCUAGUAAUCGUGGAUCAGAAUGUCACGGUGAAUACGUUCCCGGGUCUU
rnacentral:rRNA from 1 species